UGGGGAAUAUUGCACAAUGGGCGCAAGCCUGAUGCAGCCAUGCCGCGUGUAUGAAGAAGGCCUUCGGGUUGUAAAGUACUUUCAGCGGGGAGGAAGGCGAUGCGGUUAAUAACCGCGUCGAUUGACGUUACCCGCAGAAGAAGCACCGGCUAACUCCGUGCCAGCAGCCGCGGUAAUACGGAGGGCGCAAGCGUUAAUCGGAAUUACUGGGCGUAAAGCGCACGCAGGCGGUCUGUCAAGUCGGAUGUGAAAUCCCCGGGCUCAACCUGGGAACUGCAUCCGAAACUGGCAGGCUUGAGUCUCGUAGAGGGGGGUAGAAUUCCAGGUGUAGCGGUGAAAUGCGUAGAGAUCUGGAGGAAUACCGGUGGCGAAGGCGGCCUCCUGGACGAAGACUGACGCUCAGGUGCGAAAGCGUGGGGAGCAAACA
rnacentral:rRNA from 1 species